UGGUAAUGCCGGAUGCUCCAGUUGAUCGCAUGGUCUUCUGGGAAAGCUUUCGCGGUAUGGGAUGGGGUCGCGUCCUAUCAGCUUGACGGCGGGGUAACGGCCCACCGUGGCUUCGACGGGUAGCCGGCCUGAGAGGGCGACCGGCCACAUUGGGACUGAGAUACGGCCCAGACUCCUACGGGAGGCAGCAGUGGGGAAUAUUGCACAAUGGGCGCAAGCCUGAUGCAGCGACGCCGCGUGAGGGAUGGAGGCCUUCGGGUUGUAAACCUCUUUUAUCGGGGAGCAAGCGAGAGUGAGUUUACCCGUUGAAUAAGCACCGGCUAACUACGUGCCAGCAGCCGCGGUAAUACGUAGGGUGCAAGCGUUAUCCGGAAUUAUUGGGCGUAAAGGGCUCGUAGGCGGUUCGUCGCGUCCGGUGUGAAAGUCCAUCGCUUAACGGUGGAUCCGCGCCGGGUACGGGCGGGCUUGAGUGCGGUAGGGGAGACUGGAAUUCCCGGUGUAACGGUGGAAUGUGUAGAUAUCGGAAAAAAACACCA
rnacentral:rRNA from 3 species